CAUUAAAGAGUUCUAUAACUCCCAAACCCAUGUGAACAUACCUAACGUUGCCUCGGCAGGUCGCACCUACCUUGUAGCACCCUACCCUGUAGGGCCUACCCGGGAGAUGCGGGUAAGCCUGCCGGCGGCCCACCAAACUCUGUUUAAUAUUGAAUUCUGAACAUAUAACUAAAUAAGUUAAAACUUUCAACAACGGAUCUCUUGGUUCUGGCAUCGAUGAAGAACGCAGCGAAAUGCGAUAAGUAAUGUGAAUUGCAGAAUUCAGUGAAUCAUCGAAUCUUUGAACGCAUAUUGCGCCCAUUAGUAUUCUAGUGGGCAGGACCGUUCGAGCGUCAUUUCGACCCUUAAGCCUUAGUUGCUUAGUGUUGGGAGCCUACGGCAACGUAGCUCCUCAAAGUUAGUGGCGGAGUUGGUUCACACUCUAGACGUAGUAAUUUUUUAUCUCGCCUAUUAGUUGGACUGAUCCCCUGCCGUAAAACCCCCAACUUAUCAAGGUUGACCUCGAAUCGGUUCAGACAAACUCGCUAAAUUGAAGCAUCUUAGUCAGCGAAGGAAAAGAAACCAACAGGGAUUGCCCUAGUAACGGCGAGUGAAGCGGCAACAGCUCAAAUUUGAAAUCUGGCCCUCGGGUCCGAGUUGUAAUUUGUAGAGGAUGCUUUUGGCGCGGUGCCUUCCGAGUUCCCUGGAACGGGACGCCUUAGAGGGUGAGAGCCCCGUACGGUUGGACACCAAGCCUCUGUAAAGCUCCUUCGACGAGUCGAGUAGCUUGGGAAUGCUGCUCUAAAUGGGA
rnacentral:rRNA from 1 species